UCACUUAUGCGGAUGUUAGAGGUGUGAUUUCAUUUGGACAGGACUUGAUGUGAUGUGGUGUGUGUGAAGGGGGGGUAAGUGAAAGAACCUGUUAGGCUAUCGCAGCUGAAGAACAAAGGUUUAAACCUCUAUGCCAAACAUGCCAUCUGUGAAGCGUCUGUGCCUUCUUCUAACUUUUUCCUUUUGCUCUUCUACAAAUACCAGUGCAGAAGACGUUACAGUGUUUAGUGGAGAUGCUGCCUUUCUACCGUGUCCUUCACAGUUCAGUUACAGUCACAAAGUCAGUGUAAAGUGGCUAAAAGAUGAAAACAAUGGAAACUAUUUAAAUGUAUGUGAAGGCCAUAUUCAAAGUAAUACAAUUUCUGACCCCCCUAACUGCAGACCUCGGUUUAAACUAAAUAGUGAACCUUUAGGGCUGAAUAUAACAGGUGUUGUAAGCAGUGAUGCUGGUGUUUAUAACUGUGUGGUGACCAGAUUAAUACCACCACCA